GGUCACACUAAUUCAAUUGCAGUUUGACUUUGUCUAUGAAUGGCUUUGGUCUCAACCUUGAAUAAGCAUGCGAUGGUAUAAUAAACAAUGGAUGUGAUCAGCUUAUAAGUAGAGAACCCUGGACUCAGCUGACAAGAGUGUAAAUGCAGGGAAUCAAAGAAACAACAACAGAAGCUUGCUUGAGGAAGAGGAAGAGACACAGGAUAGGGUAGCUCUGAAAAACUCUUAAGGAGAAAUCCAUGGUUUUAAAAGAUUUAAAAAAGAAACCAAGGAGGAUUAAAAUGGUGUGUGGACUUCUUACUGAAUUAAAAACUGUGUCUGCUCCUAUGCACAAUGCCAACAAAUGUUCCAGAGAGAAGUUUCAAGGACUUUCAAAGAAGUCAAACCAUUUCAUUGGUGAGAAUUCUGCCAUCUGUUUCAGAGGACCAUAGCUUGACCCCUGGAGCCAGUUUCAGAAACAUGGGGAUCUACAGCUCCCUCUGCAGUCAAAGCUACUGUGCUUGUCUAAUUUGCAUAAGGCUUGCGAAGGGCCUGUCAGCAGCUAAAAGGAGAAUGCUGGCUGGCUAAGAAAUUGUAGAACUGCAGAUCUGCUGGAAUACCUGAAUCACUGGAGGGAAGCGGAGGCAAGGGAGGAGGUAUUAUGUUUGCACUAAGCACUGCUGCGACUGGGGCAUUUUAGAAAGCCACUGCUCUCACUUCAACUAAUGGAAGGCAGAGCAUUUUUAUUCUGAAGAAUACGGAAACGGAACGUUGUUGCCAUCCUGCAGGAUAACCCACUAAAAUCAGGCUCCAGCGGCUGGUUUCCAAGGUGACCAAUAUAGUCAAAUAUCCUAUUUAAAUCUGGGGAGGGAAGUGGUUGUGAAAAUCUCUGCCACUAAAGCUUUGCUGUCUGAAAUGCA